rnacentral:rRNA from 1 species
GAUGAACGCUAGCGAUAGGCUUAACACAUGCAAGUCGGGGGCAGCAUAUUCGAAGCUUGCUUUGAAUGACGGCGACCGGCGCACGGGUGCGUAACGCGUAUGUAACCUGCCUGUCAGAAGGGGAUAACCCGGUGAAAGUCGGACUAAUACCCUAUAUGCUCACGAGAGACGCCUGCCUUGGUGAGGAAAGAUUUAUCACUGACAGAUGGACAUGCGUCCCAUUAGCUGGUUGGUAGGGCAACGGCCUACCAAGGCAACGAUGGGUAGGGGAACUGAGAGGUUUAUCCCCCACAUUAGUACUGAGACACGAACCAA